AUUGAAACACCAAUUUCCAUACGACCACUGAAGUUAAGCAUUGUCAAUCCUGGCCAGUACCUAGAUGGGUGACUGCUUGGAAAUACCAGGUGCUGUAAG